ensembl:lncRNA
GGAAAGCCCUUCUUGAAAUAGAAGUAAAAGAAGGGAAAAACUGCAUUGUUGCCGAGCUAAUUUGGUGAAUGGACCUCAGUAAAUUGUGAUCGCACAGUUAAUAAACCCUAGAGCUUUUUUUGGAAGACGAAAUUAGUUGUUCAGUGGUUAAAAAAAAAAAAAUUACAAAUUGUGUUGUCCUCUUUAACCAAUCAGGCAGAGAGGCCGCCGUCAUAAUGAAUACUCAGAGCAAAGAGAACUUCACGGCAUCUAAGAUUUAACUCCAUUUUUCAACAGGAGACUGAAAACCAAUAUUUCUAAGUGGGGAAACUACUCCUUUUCGUGGCAUUGAAAGAGUAUUUACUAUUCUUUUCAUGUAAAGAGUCUAUGGAGAAAUAUGAAUGAGUUUAGGUCUAUCUUUUCAUACAGUUCAACGAGGAUGAGUAUCUUCAGUGCAUUAGAGGGAAAAACAGCCAUUAAAGGGGGUUGGGGGUGUUUCUGUAUGUGCCAGAGAAUUGAAAAACCAUUUCUGAGUAGAUCCAUUAUGUUAAUACAUAGAAAAAUGCAGGGUUCCAAAAAACAGAGCCACAUAUUUUUAAGACAUUUUUAAAACAUUGUCACUUUUGUAAAACAUUUCCAAGUACAAGCCAGGAUGUACAUUUAGCAUCUUUUUAUAAACGUGACAACCUGUUUAGGACCAAGAGUAAAUCUUCCCCCCCCCCCCUUUUUCUUUUUGACCUAAGUCUGGCAUGUAUUCGAAUAGGAACUCUCUGAAUUAAAAGUGAUCGUGCGCUUAUAGUUCAAGUUUAAGUUUAAAAUCAGUUCCUUGAAACGUAGACGGUAUUUUUCCAUAAGAGGAGUAUGGUAUAUGGCAGUUGAACUAUUUCAGGACAGCCCACUGACCUGAUAGGUAGCUGAGGUAUUGUCCAUAGGAAACGGUGAGUUUAGUUAGAGCAGCCCUGUCGGAAGAAGCUGGCCUUUGGAAUCAGCCAGAACCAGGUUCGAAUCUUUCUUCCAACUCUGUGCCUGUGGACUGGCUAUGCUGUCCCUCGGAUCCUCCGUUUUCUAAUGUGAAAAAAUGCAGAAAAGGGUACCUGCUCAAAGGGUUGCGGAAAAAUACCCAGGGAAUGAAAGUGGUUAUGGCAUCUGUUGAUCCUGGUCCUCUAGUUUCUAAGAACAUGGAAAAAAAACAGAACAAUGUUUUAUAAUGGUUUGUGGUACUAAACUAGUGGCUUGUGGUAUUAAAUUAGUGUUGGAUAACAGUUUUUAGGUAUUAAAUGGAUUCUUAUGAGGUUUGCAAGGGAGUGGAGGAGCUUUUAAAGCCCUCCUUGUGGAGUUCCCACUGUGGCUCAGCUGUAACAAACCCAGCUCGUAUCCAUGAGGACGUGGAUUCGAUCCCUGGCCUCACGCAGUGGGGUGAGGGUCUGGUAUUUCCAUGAGCUGUGGUGGUAUAGGUCUCAGACCCUGCUUGGAUCCCACGUUGCUGUGGCUGCGGCAUAGAACAGCAGAUGCAAUUCUGAUUGAACCCCCAGCCUGGGAACCUCCAUAUAUCACAGGUGUGGCCCUAAAAAGAAAAAAAAACAAGACCUAUUUGUAGCAUAUUCAUGGAUUAUGUUGGUGUUGUCAAUUCUUUAUUACUUUUUUUCAUGUCCAAAUAUGGCCUCACUUUUGUUUCUUACAUGUUUUUCUCUCAGAUAUGCUUCCUCUAUGAAUAUGUUUUACACUGCAUUCAGAAUAUCAGCUUGUAGGGAGAUCCUGUCGUGGCUCAGUGGUUAACGAAUCCAACUAGGAACGAUGAGGUUGUGGGUUCGAUCCCUGGCCUUGCUCAGUGGGUUAAGGAUCCGGCGUUGCUGUGAGCUGAGGUGUAGGUUGCAACGUGGCCCAGAUCCCAUGUUGCCGUGGCUCUGGCGUAGGCCUGCGGCUACAGCUCCGAUUCAACCCCUAGCCUGGGAACCUCCAUAUGCCGCAGGAGCAGCCCUGGAAAAGGCAAAAAAGACAAAAAAUAAAAAA